ACAGACAUCCAGUCCAUAUUUAGAACAGAAAACACUGCACUUGGAAUGCCUCUGCUGCCCCAGAGGAAGGCAGCUCUUCCCAGAGUCCUGGUUCCUGCCCCUCAAUGGUGGCUGCUUAACCCCUUCCUGGCUGGGAACUGGCCCUCUGGGCUCCUGGAUCUGCGUCCUGGUGAACGGAGAACGGGAGAUGGGAGUCAUAACUGUCAUCUCGGAUGAGGGCUGAGGGCCCACUUCUUCAAGAUGAGUAGAGUCAAGGAGACUGGACGAGUCGCCGGACCCUUCUGGGGGGUCAUGCAAAUCUCUGAGACUGUCACCAUCAAGGUGUCUUGACGUCAGAAGCACAGGUGGCUGCUGGCCUGGAACCCCUACAGAAUGGAAGCAGCUCCUUGAAGCAACCUGGCCAGCCACCUCCAUUCCUGGUGAAGGGAACAGAAACACUGAUAGCCUAAUCUAUUUUUCUUCCCUUUCCAACUGCUCGUUGUCCAACUGCCAACAGAGAAGAAAGAAAGAAGAAGGGAGGAAGACGGAGCGAGAAAGCAGCCUCUGGUGCCCCAUCUUCUGCUCCAAACUCCAAACUCAACUCUCCAUCCUUCCUCUGUUCAACAACCUCCCUUCCCUGUGCCUGAGGCUGACCGCCCCCACUCUCCUCAUCCUGACAUCAUGGGCAGCACUGCACCAGCUCCGGCUGAUCCAGGUCAUUCUGCUUUAGAAGUCCUCCAUACUCUUUUCCUUCCUAUCUGGCGGUCACCAGCGAAUUCAGACCAUCAUCAACUCACCUCGGGAUUACAGGGUCACCUGCCUGGCCAUCCUUCAGACACUGGAACCCCUCCUUCAUCCCACCCCAGCCCACCCUGCAUGUCCUGGCCAGAUUAAUCUUCUGUGAAUUCGACAUCAUUGUAUCAUGUUGUGUAUCUUCUCAAAAACGUUCAGAGCCUCCCCAUUUCCUGCCAUAAUCGAUGCCUUCUAUUAGUUACUCCCUUCAUAGGGAGGUAGGAAUAUCUCCCACCUUUUCAGCAACCAACCAGAUCCAAGCCAUUCUCUCGGUCCAUGCGGCUCCCACUGCCUUCUGGGUAGCUUUGCUUAAAUUCUCACCCAGUCCUUGCCUUGAACGGCUGUAGUACUCGAAUUCAGGGAUCACUGAAUUUAGCUCCUAAUUAUAUCUUUUCUUAUUUAACAGUUGUUUCACUCCCCAUUUAGAUUGUAACUUCCCUGAGGAGAAAGAUAUAUUCAUAGAAAAUCUCAAAAACUAUGUGUCAAGUGAUUGGGAUGGGGAGUGAAACGUCAGGGAGUUGCCCCAACAGCCCCAAAGCAGUGGGAAAUGUGAUCCUUGCUGUUUAGAAAGUUAAAAUUUGCUUGUUUACCAGCCUUGAGAAGCAAAAGUUUAAAUCGUGCACAAAGCAAGUUUUGCCCAUAACUGCUGACAGAGUCAGUCAGUGUGGUGGACGAGAAUAUCCCGAGAUAAAGGAGGUGAAUGUGCAUCAGGACGCUGAGAGAGGGGAGGGCGUGGGGAGUGUGUGCAGGAAUUCAGAUGCACUCCCGCUCGCUUGCCGUCAAGGAUCCUCUUUGAUGCCAUUCUUCACGUCCUGCCUUAGUCUUU
rnacentral:lncRNA from 1 species